GUUGGUUUAUAACUUCCUCCGCAGGUUGUACCUAUUAUUGCACAAGAGUUUAUAUAUUUUAUAAUAUUUUGUUAAAUAAUAUUAACACAAUGAAUAUUCAUUGUGCAGUGAAGCGCUGUGUUACAUUUGGUCACUAUAGAUUAAUAGUUUCGGAUGCAUGUAAAAUUAAUUAUUCUACAUCAAAUAAACGGGCAACGGUGGAUGAUGGAGAGAUCGAAAGACUAAGCAGCUUAGUUUGGUGGGGUCCACAAAGCCCAUGCUAUCCCCUAAGAAGUUUUAACACGAUCAGAGUUCCGUUUAUUAUGGAUGGCCUUGGUGGGAAUUCAUCUGACAAGAAAACAAUAAAUCCAUUCGCUAAUAAGAAACUGCUAGAAGUUGGUAGUGGUGGUGGGAUUUUGGCAGAGGCAUUGGCUGCGAAAGGAGCUGAUAUAAUAGGAUUAGAACCAGGCCAGGAAUUAGUUGAUGUGGCGCAAAAUCACUGCGAUACAAACCCAGAUAUUGCUGAUAAUAAACCAAAAUAUGUCUGUACUACAAUCGAGGAACAUUCGGAGCAGUACUCUGGUUAUUACGAUGCCGUAGUUGCAUCUGAAGUAAUCGAACACGUUUUAAAUCAAGAGUUGUUUGUUGAAUGUUGCAUCAGAGCCCUUAAGCCAGGAGGCAGAAUAUUCUUCACAACUCAAAGUAAAACCUUCUUGGCUUGGUUCCAUCACAUAUUUGUUUUUGAAAGUGUUAUCAAAUUGGUGCCAAAGGGUACACACGAAUAUGACAAAUUUAUAACACCGAAAACAUUGACGGGAAUUCUAGAACGACAUAAUUGCCGUGUGGAACUUGUUCGUGGCAUGAUGUACUAUCCCUGGUCAGACAAAUGGAAGUGGAUCAGAUACAGUCAUGCAUAUUAUGCGCUUCAAGCAAUUAAACUUAAUAAUUAAGUAUAUUGUUAGUGCAUUGUGUACUGUAGAAUAAUUGUAAACUAAUAGGUGUUUGCUUUGGUGUAGAAAUAACGACAGACGAUAAGUUUCAGAUAUAUUUUUAUUCUCAAAUAAAAUGUUUCUAAAAUUG